ACGCUCGACACCUACGGGAGGCGGCAGUGGGGAAUAUUGCACAAUGGGGGAAACCCGUGAUGCAGCGACGCCGCGUGGAGGAAGAAGGUCUUCGGAUUGUAAACUCCUGUUGUUGGGGAAAAAGAGGAUGGUACCCAACAAGGAAGUGACGGCUAACUACGUGCCACAGCCGCGGUAAUCUGAGCGGGCGUGGCAAGGC
rnacentral:rRNA from 1 species